rnacentral:lncRNA from 7 species
GGCCCAAUUGCCCCAUAUCCCCUCCCAGUCCAUCCCAGUCCAUCCCAGUCAGCCCAUAUUCCCUCCCAGUCCAUCCCAGUAUGGCCCAGUCACCCCAUAUCCCCUCCCAGUCCAUCCCAGUCCAUCCCAGUAUGGCCCAGUCGCCCCAUAUCUCCUCCCAGUCCAUCCCAGUAUGGCCGGUCACCCCAUAUCUCCUCCCAGUCCAUCCCAGUCCAUCCCAGUUGCCCCGUAUCCCCUCCCAGUCCAUCCCAGUUUCCAUCCCAGUCGCCCCGUAUCCCCUCCCAGUCCAUCCCAGUCACCCCAUAUCUUCUCAUAGUGCUCUCCCAGUCCAUCCCAGUCCAUCCCAGUCCGUCAUCCCAUAUCUCCUCCCAGUCCAUCCCAGUCGCCCUGUAUCCCCUCCCAGUCCAUCCCAGACCAUCCCAGUCACCCCAUAUCUCCUCCCAGUACGGCCCAGCCGCCCCAUAUCCCCUCCCAGUCCACCCCAUUACGCACCGGUGGACUCAUCAGCAGCCAGGAUGCCUUUGCCCGGCGCCACGAUGCGCUUGGCGAUGUCGUGCAGCUCCUGCUUCUGCUCCGGGGUGAGCGCUGGGUACUGGUGAGGCAUGGCGGCGCUGCUACUGGGCAAACUGGGAGCACUGGGAGGGGAGACGAUGCAAUGCGCGUUGGCGGCCGCUAGAGGGCAGUAGGGAGUAGUGGGAGGACCGCCACUAGGGGGCGCUAUGGAGCGGUGGGAGGACCGCCGCUAGGGGGAGCUAGGGAGCAACGGCAACACUGCCGCUAGGGGGCGCUAGGGAGCAAUGUCAGGGUGACCACUAGGGGGCAGUAGAGAGCACUGGGAGGACCGCCACUAGGGGGCGCUAUGGAGCGGUGGGAGGACUGCCGCUAGGGAGCGCUAGAGAGAAAUACUGAACAGAAACCCAUAGGGGGCAAUGGAGACAUGGAGACCCAUAGGGGGCGCUAUGGAGCAGUGGGAGGACCGCCGCUAGAGGGCGCUGUGGAGCAGUUGGAGGACUGCCGCUAGGGGGCGCUAUGGAGAAAUGGGAGGAUCGCCGCUAGGGGGCACUAGGGAGCAGUGGGAGGACUGCCGCUAGGGGGCACUAGGGA